UACGUAGGGGGCGAGCGUUGUCCGGAUUCAUUGGGCGUAAAGCGCUUUAAGGCGGUUCGGUAAGUCGGGUGUGAAACCUCCAGGCUCAACCUGGAGACGCCACUCGAUACUGCUGUGACUAGAGUUCGGUAGGGGAUCACGGAAUUCCUGGUGUAGCGGUGAAAUGCGCAGAUAUCAGGAGGAACACCAAUGGCGAAGGCAGCUCGCUGGGACGUGACUGACGCUGAGACGCGAAAGCGUGGGGAGCAAACAGG
rnacentral:rRNA from 1 species